CGCCCUUAGAGUUUGAUCCUGGCUCAGAUUGAACGCUGGCGGCAUGCCUUACACAUGCAAGUCGAACGGCAGCACGGGGGCAACCUUGGUGGCGAGUGGCGAACGGGUGAGUAACAUAUCGGAACGUGCCCUGGAGUGGGGGAUAACUAGUCGAAAGAUUAGCUAAUACCGCAUACGAUCUACGGAUGAAAGUGGGGGAUCGCAAGACCUCAUGCUCGUGGAGCGGCCGAUAUCUGAUUAGCUAGUUGGUGGGGUAAAGGCCUACCAAGGCAUCGAUCAGUAGCUGGUCUGAGAGGACGACCAGCCACACUGGGACUGAGACACGGCCCAGACUCCUACGGGAGGCAGCAGUGGGGAAUUUUGGACAAUGGGCGCAAGCCUGAUCCAGCAAUGCCGCGUGAGUGAAGAAGGCCUUCGGGUUGUAAAGCUCUUUUGUCAGGGAAGAAACGGUGGAGGUUAAUACCUUCUGCUAAUGACGGUACCUGAAGAAUAAGCACCGGCUAACUACGUGCCAGCAGCCGCGGUAAUACGUAGGGUGCAAGCGUUAAUCGGAAUUACUGGGCGUAAAGCGUGCGCAGGCGGUUGUGCAAGACAGAUGU
rnacentral:rRNA from 1 species